rnacentral:rRNA from 1 species
AUACGGAGGAUCCGAGCGUUAUCCGGAUUUAUUGGGUUUAAAGGGAGCGUAGGUGGAUUGUUAAGUCAGUUGGGAAAGUUUGCGGCUCAACCGUAAAAUUGCAGUUGAAACUGGCAGUCUUGAGUACAGUAGAGGUGGGCGGAAUUCGUGGUGUAGCGGUGAAAUGCUUAGAUAUCACGAAGAACUCCGAUUGCGAAGGCAGCUCACUAGACUAUUACUGACGCUGAUGCUCGAAAGUGGGGGUAUCAAACAGGAUUAGAUACCCUGCUAGUCCACACAGUAAACGAUUAAUACUCGCUGUUUGCGAUAUACAGUAAGCGGCCAAGCGAAAACAUUAAAUAUACAACCUUGGGAGUACGCUGGCACCGGGGAAACUCAAAGUAAUUGAAAGAG